rnacentral:rRNA from 1 species
CCUACGGGAGGCAGCAGUGGGGAAUAUUGGGCAAUGGGCGCAAGCCUGACCCAGCAACGCCGCGUGAAGGAAGAAGGCUUUCGGGUUGUAAACUUCUUUUGUCAGGGAAGAGUAGAAGACGGUACCUGACGAAUAAGCCACGGCUAACUACGUGCCAGCAGCCGCGGUAAUACGUAGGUGGCAAGCGUUGUCCGGAUUUACUGGGUGUAAAGGGCGUGUAGCCGGGUUGACAAGUCAGAUGUGAAAGCCUGCGGCUUAACCGCAGAACUGCAUUUGAAACUGUUGAUCUUGAGUACUGGAGAGGCAGACGGAAUUCCUAGUGUAGCGGUGAAAUGCGUAGAUAUUAGGAGGAACACCAGUGGCGAAGGCGGCCUACUGGACGGUGACUGACGCUGAGGCUCGAAAGCGUGGGGAGCAAACAGGAUUAGAUACCCGGGUAGUC